rnacentral:rRNA from 1 species
UACGGAGGUGACGAACGUUGUCCGGAAUUAUUGGGCGUAAAGGGCGCGUAGGCGGCUUUAUAAGUCGGGGGUGAAAGCCUGUGGCUCAACCACAGAAUUGCCUUCGAUACUGUAGAGCUUGAGACCGGAAGAGGUAAGUGGAACUGCGAGUGUAGAGGUGAAAUUCGUAGAUAUUCGCAAGAACACCAGUGGCGAAGGCGGCUUACUGGUCCGGUUCUGACGCUGAGGCGCGAAAGCGUGGGGAGCAAACAGG